CCUACGGUGGACAGCAGUAGGGAAUCUUCCACAAUGGGCGAAAGCCUGAUGGAGCAACGCCGCGUGGGUGAAGAAGGUCUUCGGAUCGUAAAACCCUGUUGUUAGAGAAGAAAGUGCUUGCGAGUACCUGUUCCCGUUUCGACGGUAUCUACCCAGAAAGCGACGCCUAACUACGUGCCAGCAGCCGCGGUAAUGCGGAGGUGGCAAGCGUUAUCCGGAUUUAUUGGGCGUAAAGGGAACGAAGGCGGUCUUUUAGGUUUGAUGGUAAAGCCUUGGGCUUAACCGGAGUAGUGCUUUGGAAACUGGGAGACUGGAGUGCAGAAGAGGAGAGUGGAACUCCUUGUGUAGCGGUGAAAUGCGUAGAUAUAUGGAAGAACACCAGUGGCGAAGGCGGCUCACUGGGCUGUAACUGACGCUGAGGUUCGAAAGCGUGGGUAGCAAACAGGAUUAGAUACCCUUGUAGUC
rnacentral:rRNA from 1 species